CACAAAUAUAUUAGAUAAAAAGGAUUAUUGUUAUGCUGGGAACCCAGUAAACUUCAAAUAACACAAGGGUGCAAGUAUACUAAAUAGCUUUUUCCACGAGUCAUUGUUUUAAGGAGAUUGCUAUUGAUGCACACCACACGUCGACCAAGUCAAUUUCAGAUUAAUCAUUUAACCAGGGAAAACCAGAUGUACAAUUAUCUUUUUGAUGCGUAGGUCAAAAUUUCAGACAAUCUGAUGAUCGGAAACAAUAAUGAUAAUAAAUUUGUGCGCCGUGAGCGAAUUCUACUCUCCUCUUACAAUGUCCUCCCUCUAUAUUUUACCAUUCGAGUUAUAAAAAAAACUUACUACAACACGUAAUGGCGCUAAUGUGGAAAACCUCUGAAUUACGUGUAAGUUGUGUUCCAUGUUCAACUUUGAUUUGCGUUUGCAGUCUACCCAUUAUCCAUCAACAGCCAAUCGUGAAAACGGAUGAGCGAAAAAAAUAUGACGUCAUCUGUAAUAGACCUAACGAUGUUGCAUUUGGUUUUAAAUUCACAUCCUCUAGGAGUCGCACCCUUUUGGUGUCAACAUCUCAUUUGCAUCUAAUAAAUAUAAACAUGAGAAUUUGAAAUUCUGUAUCCCCUUAUAAUUCCACCAUCAUCAUCAAAUACGUUAGAAUCAUCACCUUUGCUGAGAAUUGUCUCUGCA
rnacentral:lncRNA from 1 species